ensembl:misc_RNA 7SK 7SK RNA
GCAAGGGCCAUCUGGCUGCAACAUUUGUCACCCCAUUGAUCCCCAGGGUUGAUUUGGCUCAUCUACUUGGCUGGUCGGGUAUCCCCUUCCUCCCUCAUUGUUCCAUGUGUGUCCCUUCUGAAGCGUGCUUGGUUCAAAAGGACAACCUUCCCUGAUAGAGGAGAGCUGUCUUAGGUCAAGGGUAUAUGAGUAGCUGUUCUUCCCUGCUAGAACCUUCAAAUAAGCUUUCAAAGUCCAUUUAUAGGAGAAUGUCGGGUAGUCAAGCUUCCACGACUCUAGACACAUCCAAAUGAGGCAUUGCAUGUGGUAGUCUGCCUUUCUUU